UUUGGCAAUUUGCAUAUCUAUUGGCUAAAUGCGGUAGAGCAUCUUUUCUUGUGCUUAUUGCCCAUUUACAUAUCUGUAUGCUAUUAUGAUGGAACAGUCUAGGAAGUUUAAAGUUAGGAAGUACUUAGUCUUCCAACUUUAUCUUUUUUUAAAGGUUGUUUUGGCUUUAUUGGGUCCUUUGUUUCUUUCCAUAUGAAUUUUGGGAUCAUCUUGUUUUCUGAAAAUAAACUGGAAUUUUGAUGGGGUGGCAUUAAAUCAGAUUGUAGAGUAUUUAUUGCCUGUUUAUUUGGGCCAAGUCUUUAUUUCAAAUAUAGCUUGUAUUUCCUUUGUUAAAUUUGUGUUAGAUAAAAAAAAUUGUUAGGAUUUUUUGUUUUGUUUUGUUUUGUUUUUGUUUUUUGAGACAGGGUUUCUCUGUGUAGCCCUGGCUGUCCUGGAACUCACUCUGUAGACCAGGCUGCCCUCGAACUCAGAAAUUCACCUGCCUCUGGCUCCCAAGUGCUGGGAUUAAAGGUGUGUGCCACCACUGCCUGGCUAUGUUAGGAUUUUAUUAUUAUUUUUAAUUGUAUAUGAGCAUUUUGCCUGCAUGAAUGUGUGUGUACAUCAGGUGCCUGGUUCUCUAAAAGGUCACAGAGGGCAUUAGAUCCCUGGGACUGGAGGGAGGGACUAGAGGGACUUCUGAAACUACCAUUACAAUCAUUCAUGAGCCAUGUGGGUGCUGAGAACUGAAAUUGGGUCCUCUGCAAGAGCAGCCAAUACUCUUAACUGACAAGCCAUCUCUCUAGCCCAAGUAUUUUAUUCCUUUUGAUGCUAUUGUAAAUGGAAUUUCAUUUUAAAGCAGUGUAGCUGUAUCCCAGGUUAGUCUAGAACUUACUAUGUAGCAGGCUGGGCUUGAGCUCAUUAACAGUCCUCCUGACUCAAGUCAAGUAAAUGAGCCAAUAUGCCAGGCUUGGAAUUGUUUUCUUAUAUUUUUGGUUGUGAGCCUAGCCUUUAACGGCUGAGCCAUCUCUCCAGCCCGGAAUUGCUUUCUAAAUUUCAUUUUUGUCUUUCUCAUUGCCAAGGCAUAAAAAUGCUUAUUUUUUUAUUUUUUUAGUGGUGGAGGUAGGAAAAAGUGUUCACUUUUCUACCAUAAGAAAAAGGGGCCGGCGUGGUGGCACACGCCUUUAAUCCCAGCACUUGGGAGGCAGAGGCAGUCGGAUUUCUGAGUUCGAGGCCAGCCUGGUCUACAAAGUGAGUUCCAGGACAGCCAGAGCUAUACAGAGAAACCCUGUCUCGAAAAAUCAAAAAAAAAAAAAAAACCAACCAACCAAACAAACAAACAAAAAAACAAAAAC
rnacentral:lncRNA from 1 species